rnacentral:rRNA from 1 species
AGUGAACGCUGGCGGUAGGCCUAACACAUGCAAGUCGAACGGCAGCACAGUAAGAGCUUGCUCUUACGGGUGGCGAGUGGCGGACGGGUGAGGAAUACAUCGGAAUCUACUUUUUCGUGGGGGAUAACGUAGGGAAACUUACGCUAAUACCGCAUACGACCUACGGGUGAAAGCAGGGGAUCUUCGGACCUUGCGCGAUUGAAUGAGCCGAUGUCGGAUUAGCUAGUUGGCGGGGUAAAGGCCCACCAAGGCGACGAUCCGUAGCUGGUCUGAGAGGGUGAUGAGCCACACUGGAACUGUGACACGGUCCAGACUCCUACGGGAGGCAGCAGUGGGGAAGAUUGGACUAUGGGCGCAAGCCUGAUCCAGCCAUACCGCGUGGGUGAAGAAGGCCUUCGGGUUGUAAAGCCCUUUUGUUGGGAAAGAAAAGCAGCAGGUUAAUACCCCGCUGUUCUGACGGUACCCAAAGAAUAAGCACCGGCUAACUUCGUG